AUGGAUAGUGGGGACGAGUAUUUUUUCCACGACUUCAUUUCUUCAUCGGAUGAUUCGUCCUCGGAUGACGAAGAGCUUGCGGUGGUUGCAUUGGUUGUCAAUGACCACAUUGCUAGGCAGCGACCUCGGUUCAAGGGAUCAAUUCAGGGUCAUGCUCCGGCCUUGAACCGCAAUAGGGAGAGCGGCCCCACCCUGCUCUAUGCCGAUUACUUUGAGAAUACCGCGCUCUUCAAACCACAUCAAUUCCGUUGCCGCUUCUGUAUGGCGAGACAUGCGUUCAGUUGUAUUCGGGAGGAAGUGGCGGCAUAUGACUUUGAGUACAAAGAGGAUGCCCUUGGCAAGUUUGGCUUCUCCUCUUAG
rnacentral:rRNA from 1 species